rnacentral:rRNA from 1 species
CCAAUAGCGUAUAUUAAAGUUGUUGCAGUUAAAAAGCUCGUAGUUGAAUUUCGGGAUCAGCAGGUCGGUCGUGCCUACGGUAUGCACUGGCCUUGCUGAUUCCUCCCUCUUGAUGAGCCGUAAUGCCAUUAAUUUGGUGUUGCGGGGAAUCAGGACUGUUACUUUGAAAAAAUUAGAGUGUUUAAAGCAGGCAAGCGCUUGAAUACAUUAGCAUGGAAUAAUGAAAUAGGACGUUCGAUCCUAUUUUGUUGGUUUCUAGGAUUGACGUAAUGAUUAAUAGGGAUAGUUGGGGGCAUUAGUAUUCAAUUGUCAGAGGUGAAAUUCUUGGAUUUAUUGAAGACUGACUACUGCGAAAGCAUUUGCCAAGGAUGUUUUCAUUAAUCAAGAACGAAAGUUAGGGGAUCGAAGACGAUCAGAUACCGUCGUAGUCUUAACCAUAAACUAUGCCGACUAGGGAUCGGAUGAUGUUAAUUUUUUAAUGACUCAUUCGGCGCCUUACG